AGCUUUGCGCAGUGGCAGUAUCGUAGCCAAUGACGUUUAUCCAAGGCGGGAUUAAUGCUAAUUGAAAACUUAAAAAAAAAAAAAGAUAGGGGUCCAAAAUAAUAGGGUUUUCAAUAUUUGAUUUAUACCUAGGAAG